rnacentral:rRNA from 1 species
GUGGGGAAUAUUCCGCAAUGGACGAAAGUCUGACGGAGCAACGCCGCGUGAGUGAUGAAGGUUUUCGGACUGUAAAGCUCUGUUGUUUGGGACGAAAGUGCCUGUUGCGAACAGUUACGGGUAUUGACGGUACUAAACGAGGAAGCCACGGCUAACUACGUGCCAGCAGCCGCGGUAAUACGUAGGUGGCAAGCGUUGUCCGGAAUUAUUGGGCGUAAAGAGCAUGUAGGCGGGAAUCUAAGUCUGUUGUUAAAAUGCGGGGCUCAACCCCGUAUUGCGAUGGAAACUGGGUUUCUUGAGUGCAGGAGAGGAAAGGGGAAUUCCCAGUGUAGCGGUGAAAUGCGUAGAUAUUGGGAGGAACACCAGUGGCGAAGGCGCCUUUCUGGACUGUGUCUGGCGCUGAGAUGCGAAAGCCAGGGUAGCGAACGGGAUUAGAUACCCUAGUAGUCC